rnacentral:tRNA from 1 species
GUGGAUGUGGUGCAAAUGGUUAACACGCUUGGCUGCUAACCAAAAGGUUGGAGGUUCGAGUUCACCCAUAGGCA